GCUCAGGACGAACGCUGGCGGCGUGCUUAACACAUGCAAGUCGAACGAUGAAGCCCUUCGGGGUGGAUUAGUGGCGAACGGGUGAGUAACACGUGGGCAAUCUGCCCUUCACUCUGGGACAAGCCCUGGAAACGGGGUCUAAUACCGGAUACCACUCCUGCCUGCAUGGGCGGGGGUUGAAAGCUCCGGCGGUGAAGGAUGAGCCCGCGGCCUAUCAGCUUGUUGGUGGGGUAAUGGCCCACCAAGGCGACGACGGGUAGCCGGCCUGAGAGGGCGACCGGCCACACUGGGACUGAGACACGGCCCAGACUCCUACGGGAGGCAGCAGUGGGGAAUAUUGCACAAUGGGCGAAAGCCUGAUGCAGCGACGCCGCGUGAGGGAUGACGGCCUUCGGGUUGUAAACCUCUUCAGCAGGGAAGAAGGAAAGUGACGGUACCUGCAGAAGAAGCGCCGGCUAACUACGUGC
rnacentral:rRNA from 1 species